AUUGAACGCUGGCGGCAGGCCUAACACAUGCAAGUCGAGCGGUAGAGAGGUGCUUGCACCUCUUGAGAGCGGCGGACGGGUGAGUAAUGCCUAGGAAUCUGCCUGGUAGUGGGGGAUAACGUCCGGAAACGGACGCUAAUACCGCAUACGUCCUACGGGAGAAAGCAGGGGACCUUCGGGCCUUGCGCUAUCAGAUGAGCCUAGGUCGGAUUAGCUAGUUGGUGAGGUAAUGGCUCACCAAGGCGACGAUCCGUAACUGGUCUGAGAGGAUGAUCAGUCACACUGGAACUGAGACACGGUCCAGACUCCUACGGGAGGCAGCAGUGGGGAAUAUUGGACAAUAGGCGAAAGCCUGAUCCAGCCAUGCCGCGUGUGUGAAGAAGGUCUUCGGAUUGUAAAGCACUUUAAGUUGGGAGGAAGGGUUGUAGAUUAAUACUCUGCAAUUUUGUCGUUACCGACAGAAUAAGCACCGGCUAACUCUGUGCCAGCCGCCGCCGUAACAC
rnacentral:rRNA from 1 species